GCACGCUCGUGUUGCUGCAGUUCCCACUUCCGCUGAGCCGCACCUGCCCGCCCGCGGAUUACGCAUCUCGCCGCCCCAUGGCCGAUCUCCACCCGCCGGAGUCAGGCACCAACGGCUUGGGUGCCGGAGCGGUCGCGGGCGCCGCCGUGUUGCCUACCGGGGAAGCCGCCGCCGUCGCCGAGGCCGCAGUCGCUGGAGGAGCGCAGGCACUGGCCCCGCCCUACUCCAAGCGGCGCCGCCGCCCCAGCGUCCGCCUCGGGGAAAUCGACGCCCCGCCCCCGCGCCGCAACCACAAGACCUCCUCCUCCGCCCACCCCCGCCCGCCGCGCCGCGCGCACCCGGAGGACGGCGGCCAUGACCCGCACCACCGCCGGGGCCCACCGAAGCCGCCCGCUCAGCGACGCCCGCGCACCGCGUGGACUCCGGCGGCUCCCUCUGGCGCAGAGGGCUACGAGGAAGAUGAAGAGCACUACUACGACGACGCAGACCAGUCGGAUUCCGCCGCCGCCGCAGCUAGGGCUAGGGUUUCCGGCAGCCGCGAGGGCAGCGGCGACGAGUCGGACGGCGUGGCGGACUGGGGUCUCCCGAACGGCCGGCUCCCCUCCGCGACGGGCUACAGCGGCGUGAAGGCGUGGCUGGAUGGGCUAGGGCUUGCCCGGUACGCUCCCGUGUUCGAGAUCCAUGAGGUGGACGAUGAGGUACUCCCUCUGCUAACAUUGGAGGAUCUCAAGGACAUGGGCAUCGGGGCUGUUGGGUCCAGGAGGAAGAUGUAUGCCGCCAUCCAGAAGCUCCGGAGGAGCGACGGUAUCUCCUGAGUUGGUAUAUAUUCUCCAAAUCAUGCAGGGACCGGGCUCUUUAUUUUGACCUUACCCAUCGUCUCAGAAAUCACCCGAAAGAUGAUUUGUAUGAAAUAUGUGCACCUCUUGAGCCUCCCUUAAGGCCAUUGCUUGACGCAUAUAGGAAAGUCAACGAGUGACCCCUAUCAGGAAUUAUUCCAUGCCAAAUGGGUGCAGCUAUUCUUCGCCAAAUUCGCUUCCAAUAGAAAAGUCAACAUCAGUAGCUCCUGGUCAAGACAUGCUGGACGGCUUGAAGAAGGGUGCAAGGAAAUGAUGUGCUGAGGCAUUGAUACAUUGUAAGUUCAAAGAAUAGCGAGUGGAUCCUUUAGUUUAAAAAUCAUAGUUUUGGUCCUUUCGAAAUGUCACCUCCAAAUGUGAUGGUUGUCCUUUUGAAAUGUCACCUCCAAAUGUGAUGGUUCUCAGAUAUGAUAAUCUGGUACAUUUUGUCGUAAUUAUAAGUAUGCUAGGAUUAUUCA